GCAUGCUCCACGGUGCUCACAACACAGCCACGCGCGAGGCGUGACCAGUGUUGUACGUGAGCCCGGAGCUUGCGCCUGCACCAAGAAUUUACCGAGAAAACAGGAUCAGCUCUGCUUAAAGCCGGGCGACACGCAAGCGCGCCUCGAGGCCGGCGGGUUUGCCGUAGCUCCCCCGCCACAGUCUUGCUUUCACUUCGCCUUCGGGUUUUGUGAGACCCUUAGACUUGCACACAUGCUAUACUCCUUGGCCCGUGUUUCGAGACGUGACCGAUGGUGCUGGACUUAACACCACUCAGACCAACGCCCGGCUGAGAGACCUUGCAAAAUGCAGCUGGGUUCACACCGCCUGGGAUGGACGCUUCCGGCACAGUGGAAGCGCCUGGACGUCGGUCUGGCCAGAAAGCAGCUCGUCGCUAGAGGAUCAUACCAGGUUUUUCUCGGUCGCCGCCCGACCCAGGACUAGACACGCGUGUGAGUGUAGACUCUCUCGAGCCAUCAUCGACAACGCAUCGUUGCCAUCGUCCUGGAUACGCGAUCGGCAGUUUGAGCCUGUGGGUGACCUCACAACGUGCCGUGGUGGGCAUAUCCGCAUUAGACACGAGAGUAAUGAACGUCCAUUCAAAAGGGGACGACACGAAGCAUCUAGGCCGAAGCCUGAGAUCUCCGAGCCGAACCCCCCGCACGGCUGACUAAUAGGCUAACUCAAUGCUACGCAUGACGAGCCACUUCAGGU
rnacentral:rRNA from 1 species